UACGUAAGGGGCGAGCGUUGUCCGGAGUUACUGGGCGUAAAGCGCACGCAGGCGGUCUGCUAAGUUUGGAGUGACAGUUGGUGGCUUAACUGCCAAAGUGCUUCGAAAACUGACAGACUUGAGGGCUUCAGAGGGACACGGAAUUCCGGGUGGAGUGGUGAAAUGCGUAGAGAUCCGGAGGAACACCAAAGGCGAAGGCAGUGUCCUGGGGGGUACCUGACGCUCAGGUGCGAAAGCCAGGGGAGCGAACGGG
rnacentral:rRNA from 1 species